rnacentral:tRNA from 1 species
GCCCGUUUAGCUCAUCGGUAGAGCGCAUCACUAGUAGUCGAGUACGGGGAUGAUGAGGUGACUGGUUCGAUUCCAGUAAUGGGCA